rnacentral:rRNA from 1 species
AUUGAACGCUGGCGGCAGGCUUAACACAUGCAAGUCGAGCGAGCGGCGGACGGGUGAGUAAGGUCUGGGAAACUGCCUGAGGGAGGGGGAUAACUACUGGAAACGGUAGCUAAUACCGCAUACAAUCAGAUGUGCCCAGAUGGGAUUAGCUAGGAGGUGGAGUAAUGGCUCACCUAGGCGACGAUCCCGAGCUGGUCUGAGAGGAUGACCGCCCACAGUGGAACUGAGACACGGUCCAGUCUCCUACUGGAGGCAUCAGUGGGGAAUAUUGAACAAGGGGCGCAAGCCUGAUGCAGCCGUGCCGCGUGUGUGAAGAAGGCCUUCGGGUUUUAAAGCACUUUCAGCGAGGAGGCGUUACUCGCAGAAGAAGCACCGGCUAACUCCGUGCCAGCAGCCGCGGUAAUUC